CCUUCAAGUCUUCAAAAUUUGAAUUAGUUUGGAUGAGAUUUCCAAAACUAAUUCAUCCUUAUCCACUCUCUCUCUCCCUUGUUUCACGCUUGUUCCCGUAGGUGCACCUCCUUGAGUGCCACAUCAGCAUUUCAGCACCUCCCUCACGCCCAAGACUCCUUUCCCACGUCCUCCUCUAAGUCCUAUUGCCAUUAGGACUCCACACAACCCAAUUCAGCC
rnacentral:lncRNA from 1 species